rnacentral:rRNA from 1 species
UACGGGGGGGGCAAGCGUUGUUCGGAUUUACUGGGCGUAAAGGGCUCGUAGGUGGCCAACUAAGUCAGACGUGAAAUCCCCAGGCUUAACCUGGGAACUGCGUCUGAUACUGGAUGGCUUGAAUUCGGGAGAGGGAUGCAGAAUUCCAGGUGUAGCGGUGAAAUGCGUAGAUAUCUGGAGGAAUACCGGUGGCGAAGGCGGCAUCCUGGACCGAGAUUGACACUGAUGAGCGAAAGCUAGGGGAGCAAACGGG